AUCUCCUAACAAGCAGUCAAUAA
rnacentral:snRNA from 1 species